UUGCUUUGCCUGGUGUACUUCCUGUUUGACGGGCCAGCAUCAAUUUUGACCGUUGGAAAAAGGCUUUGGGAAUGUGGCACCUCCGGGUGUGUUAUAGCCCUUUGUCAUAUACGACGGUUGGGAUUGAGGACUGCAGCACGCCUUUAUGGCCGGGGUUCGCCCACGUAACGUGCUUAGGAUGCUGGCGUAAUGGCUUUAAGCGACCCGUCUUGAAACACG
rnacentral:rRNA from 1 species